rnacentral:lncRNA from 1 species
GCGUGGACCUGAAAGCUUGGCGAGUAAACAAUUGGGAAAUAGUAAAAUCUGCCAGGUUCUCUGGCAUGAGAACUCCAGGCAAAUGAAUGUGAGGAUCACGUCUUGCGAUCUAGUCUCCUCACUACCUCGAUCCCGCAGCACCCUCUGAGACCACCUCCACCAGGCAGCUUGGGCGCGGAUUUACCUUGACCUUAGGGCCAGCCAACUAAAAUGAGGCGAGGGCAUUUCAUGCAGUCAGAUCAUCUCAGGAAGACAUUGGAGGCUGAGGCGGGAAGACUGGUGCUAGUAAAAUUGCCAGAAAUUUGAGGACAAGGCUUCCAAGUUCAACAGUCCUGACUGUCCCGGAACUCACUUUGUAGACCAGUCUGGUCUUGAACUCAAAGCAAUACACCUACCUCUGCUUCCCAAGUGCCAGGAUUAAAGAAGUGCCCCCCACCUCCAGGUUAGAAUGAUUAUUUUCUUUCUGGACUUUUAUAAGGGUAGGAAAGAUGGCAGAGGAUAUUGGGAGAAAGCCCAGCAUUGCAAGUAAGAAUCAUUAUGAAGAGCUUUCUUGUAUGCUCGUUCCUAAGACAUAGCCUGAUAUCUAGUUAAUAUUGAAUAUGUGUAACUGGUAUUCCAACAUAAUUGGCAAUUUAUAGUUGGCAAUAAAGUGUUUA